rnacentral:rRNA from 1 species
GACAGAGGAGCCAAGCGUUGUCCGGAUUGACUGGGCGUAAAGCGCACGCAGGCGGGUGCGCGCGUGGGGUGUGAAACCUGGCCGCUUAACGGCCAGCGGCCAUCCCAUACGGCGCGCCUGGAGCCUUGCAGAGGGCGGUGGAAUUGCCGGUGUAGUGGUGAAAUGCGUAGAGAUCGGCAGGAACACCCAGGGAGGAAAUCAGCCGCC